rnacentral:rRNA from 1 species
GUAGGUGGCAAGCGUUGUCCGGAAUUAUUGGGCGUAAAGCGCGCGCAGGUGGGUUCUUUAAGUCUGAUGUGAAAGCCCCCGGGCUCAACCGGGGAGGGUCAUUGGAAACUGGGGUACUUGAGUGCAGGAGAGGAAAGUGGAAUUCCACGUGUAGCGGUGAAAUGCGUAGAUAUGUGGAGGAACACCAGUGGCGAAGGCGACUUUCUGGCCUGUAACUGACACUGAGGCGCGAAAGCGUGGGGAGCAAACAGGAUUAGAUACCCUGGUAGUCCACGCCGUAAACGAUGAGUGCUAAGUGUUGGGGGGUUUCCGCCCCUCAGUGCUGCAGCUAACGCAUUAAGCACUCCGCCUGGGGAGUACGGUCGCAAGACUG